rnacentral:rRNA from 1 species
GACGGAGGGUGCAAGCGUUGUUCGGAAUUACUGGGCGUAAAGCGCGGGCAGGUGGCCUUUUAAGUCCUUUGUGAAAUUCCGGAGCUCAACUCCGGACAUGCAUAGGAUACUGGCAGGCUAGAGACUGGUAGAGGCGAGCGGAAUUCCUGGUGUAGCGGUGGAAUGCGUAGAUAUCAGGAGGAACACCAAUGGCGAAGGCAGCUCGCUGGGACGGUACUGACGCUGAGACGCGAAAGCGUGGGGAGCAAACAGG